rnacentral:rRNA from 1 species
UGGGGAAUUUUGGACAAUGGGCGAAAGCCUGAUCCAGCAAUGCCGCGUGUGUGAAGAAGGCCUUCGGGUUGUAAAGCACUUUUGUCCGGAAAGAAAUCCUCUGGGUUAAUACCUCGGGGGGAUGACGGUACCGGAAGAAUAAGCACCGGCUAACUACGUGCCAGCAGCCGCGGUAAUACGUAGGGUGCAAGCGUUAAUCGGAAUUACUGGGCGUAAAGCGUGCGCAGGCGGUUUUGUAAGACGGAUGUGAAAUCCCCGGGCUUAACCUGGGAACUGUAUUCGUGACUGCAAGGCUAGAGUAUGGCAGAGGGGGGUAGAAUUCCACGUGUAGCAGUGAAAUGCGUAGAGAUGUGGAGGAAUACCGAUGGCGAAGGCAGCCCCUGGGCCAAUACUGACGCUCAUGCACGAAAGCGUGGGGAGCAAACAGGAUUAGAUACCCUGGUAGUCCACGCCCUAAACGAUGUCAACUAGUUGUUGGGGAUUCAUUUCCUUAGUAACGUAGCUAACGCGUGAAGUUGACCGCCUGGGGAGUACGGUCG